AAAUGCUAACAUUCAAAUUAAUUAAAUGUGAUAAGUGAACUAAACUCAAUUUUCAUCAACCUGUUGUGAACACUACUUUUAAAUAAGUAAGUAGUAAUUUGGGGUUGGAGAACUUGCUUAACUUGAUAUAUCCCAGUUAAGUCAAAUUAGAAAAAAUAAUUUCUUGUACCCAGUGUCCUUUGGGCGUUCUAUCAGACAUGCGCAGAUCUGCCCUGCCCACUUUCGCGCUCUUUCCAACACCUUUCUCAGUUAUUUUCGCCAUUGUGGGUUUACUUGUCCUCAGCACACUGAUUUGGCACUGCUGCAAUCGUCACACUUUUUCUGUUACAAACUGACCCGGCCCCUCAUCAGAGAAGGGAAAAGUCAUGUGGCCUUCACAGGAAAAGGUUUGGGGACCCCUGCUUUAGAGUGUUUGUCAUCUGCCCUUCCAUUUGCUUUUCUUCAUGUGCAGUGCUCCCCCUCCAUGUUUGAUCAAACUGCACUGAUAAUUUGAAAUUGUUUUAAAAUGCAUUAAUCGCAAAAAUCAGAGGACUAGAUCACAUUUCCCCCUGUUAUUUCACCACUUUAACUUUGGUCUAACCUAAUAUAGGAAUACAGAUAGAAAGAGUGCAGAGAUCACACUCGACGCCAUAACAACCUGGUGUGUUUAAGGUUGGUCAUUUAUGUGCCUAUAUUUUGAAAUUGUUGCCUUAAUUUUGUGUUCUUUUUCACCAUCCCCCAAUCAGGCUGAAGCAAAUGGUCAAAAGUCCACACAUACCUCAGUCUCAGCAAUUACAGGUCAACCAAAGCAGUAUUCUCUAAUGCAGUGGACUUGCAAGUACUGCACAUUUUCUGCUGAAAAGAGCCUACUUGCUUAAGCAUUACCGCUUAAAACAUGGAUACCACACUCGGACAUCCCUACUCCCAUGUCUUCAUAAGGACUGCCUCUGCACAUUUAAAUCUUUUAAUGCACUCAAAGUACACCUAUCGACAUGGCACUCUCAAAAAGAUGCAGGCAAAAGUGGAGAAACUGCAUUUGACCGUCAGUUGUGCAACUUUGUGGAGCCCUGCUCAGGAGCAGACUUCUUUACCCAUUUGCGAGGACAUCUUAAGCUGAGGCAAAUGGUUA